UGAGCAAUCUGCCCUUCUCUUCGGAAUAAGCGUUGGAAACGACGUCUAAUGCCGAAUACGACCUCCUUUCGCAUGAUCGGAGGUGGAAAGCUCCGGCGGAGAAGGAUGAGCUCGCGGCCUAUCAGCUAGUUGGUGUGGGUAAUGGCCCACAAGGCGACGACGGGUAGCCGGCCUGAGAGGGCGACCGGCCACACGUGGGACUGAGACACGGCCCAGACUCCGUACGGGAGGNAG
rnacentral:rRNA from 1 species